rnacentral:rRNA from 1 species
AUACGUAGGGGGCGAGCGUUGUCCGGAAUGAUUGGGCGUAAAGGGCGCGUAGGCGGCCCGGUAAGUCUGGAGUGAAAGUCCUGUUUUUAAGAUGGGAAUUGCUUUGGAUACUGUCGGGCUUGAGUGCAGGAGAGGGAAGUGGAAUUCCCCGUGUAGCGGUGAAAUGCGUAGAGAUUGGGAGGAACACCAGUGGCGAAGGCGACUAACUGGACUGUAACUGACGCUGAGGCGCGAAAGUGUGGGGAGCAAACAGGAUUAGAUACCCUGGUAGUCCACACUGUAAACGAUGAAUGCUAGGUGUAGGGGGUAUCGACCCCUUCUGUGCCGCAGUCAACACAAUAAGCAUUCCGCCUGGGGAGUACGGCCGCAAGGUUGAAACUCAAAUGAAUUGGCGGGG